AAGCUCGUAGUUGAAUUUCGGGGUUGGUAGGUUGGUCAUGCCUCUGGUAUGUACUGGUCUCACUGAUUCCUCCUUCCUUAUGAACCGUAAUGCCAUUAAUUUGGUGUUGCGGGGAAUUUGGACUGUUACUUUGAAAAAAUUAGAGUGUUUAAAGCAAGCUAACGCUUGAAUACAUUAGCAUGGAAUAAUGAAAUAGGGCGUUCGAUCUUAUUUUGUUGGUUUCUAGGAUUGACGUAAUGAUUAAUAGGGAUAGUUGGG
rnacentral:rRNA from 1 species